rnacentral:rRNA from 1 species
UGAACGCUAGCGGCAGGCUUAACACAUGCAAGUCGAGGGGCAGCAUGACGGAACCUUCGGGUUUGUUGAUGGCGACCGGCGCAAGGGUGCGUAACGCGUGAGCAACUUGCCCGUUUCAGGGGGAUAACCGGUGGAAACGCCGACUAAUACCCCAUAGCAUCACAUUGAGGCAUCUUUAUGUGAUUAAAGAAUUUCGGAUAAGGAUAGGCUCGCGUGACAUUAGCUAGAUGGCGGGGUAACGGCCCACCAUGGCGACGAUGUCUAGGGGUUCUGAGAGGAAGGUCCCCCACACUGGAACUGAGACACGGUCCAGACUCCUACGGGAGGCAGCAGUGAGGAAUAUUGGUCAAUGGUCUGACGACUGAACCAGCCAUGCCGCGUGAAGGUGACGGCCCUAUGGGUCUUAAACUUCUUUUGCAAGGGAGCAAUAAGGCGUACGUGUACGUCGAUGAGAGUACCUUGCGAAUAAGCAUCGGCUAACUCCGUG